UACGUAGGGCGCAAGCGUUAUCCGGAAUUACUGGGCGUAAAGCGUGCGCAGGCGGUUUUGUAAGUCUGUCGUGAAAUCCCCGGGCUCAACCUGGGAAUUGCGAUGGAGACUGCAAGGCUAGAAUCUGGCAGAGGGGGGUAGAAUUCCACGUGUAGCAGUGAAAUGCGUAGAGAUGUGGAGGAACACCGAUGGCGAAGGCAGCCCCCUGGGUCAAGAUUGACGCUCAUGCACGAAAGCGUGGGGAGCAAACAGG
rnacentral:rRNA from 1 species